GAGAAUCAAAUCAGGACCAGAGAGGGGAGCAACGACACUGUGGUUCACACGCCUACUUUUACAGCUGGGGAUCCUGUUGUAUACAGCAAUUUGACUGAAAACCCCAGUGUAACAGCUGAAGACUCGGUUAUAUACAGCUCUGUUUCUAAGCCAAAGUCUUCAGCAUCCAAAGUUAUUGAGCAGGACGUGACCUACAGCUCUGUAAAUUUUACUUCCAAGAAGAAAACUGUGUCUCCAAAAGACACUGAUGAGACCACAUACAGCACUGUUGUUCGCCAUAAAGGGGUGUGUAAUUGAAAAAUACUUUACAUAACUCUCGGUCAUUCAGAAAACACCAGUUUUCUUACUGCCACAUGACAACUGCUAAAGCUUUCUCUAUACAAUUCCUUCUACACCACUAGCACUUAAAUUCCUCAUGUGUGUAUAACACAACACAUUGAGAGACCUACACAAAUGGAUAAAUAUAAAUGUAUGAAACAAAAACAAUUGGUGUUUGCUAACAAAUUAAGCAAUUCCAGCAUAUAACACAUACAUGUUUUGAUAUAUAUAUACAUUUAUCACUACUGCAUAUACAAAAACAAGAAUUGAAAAUGUAAAACAUGCACACGCCUGAUGAAGAUUUAAUGCAAUUGUUUUAUUUGUCAAUCAUUACUGUUUAAUUUAAAAUAAGAAUGCAUCACUUAUUAUUGUGACAGUGGCUGUGUCUAUCAGAGACUUUUAUUUUAACUUUAUAGCUAAAUACUCAAUUUGUGGACACAUCGUUUUGCUUUUUAUAUUUACUUUUU